rnacentral:rRNA from 1 species
AUUGAACGCUGGCGGCAGGCCUAACACAUGCAAGUCGAGCGAGCGGCGGACGGGUGAGUACUGUCUGGGAAACUGCCUGAUGGAGGGGGAUUACUACUGGAAACGGUAGCUAAUACCGCAUCCCAUCAGAUGUGCCCAGAUGGGAUUAGCUAGUAGGUGGGGUAACGGCUCAACUAGGCGACGAUCCCUAGCUGGUCUGAGAGGAUGACCAGCCACACUGGAACUGAGACACGGUCCAGACUCCUACGGGAGGCAGCAGUGGGGAAUAUUGGACAAUGGGCGAAAGCCUGAUGCAGCCAUGCCGCGUGUGUGAAGAAGGCCUUCGGGUUGUAAAGCACUUUAAGCUGGGAGGCGUUACCCGCAGAAGAAGCACCGGCUAACUUCGUGCCAGCAGCCGCGGUAAUAC